AGUGUGCCACGUCAUCACAAAAAAUUAACCAAUAAGAAAAAUCUUUUCUGUCACGUCAUUUAUAUUUAGCCAAUUCUUUAAAAAAAUCGGGCUUCAUAUAUGGCCCAAAUAAAAAACACUUAAGAAACCCUAAUCUUCUAAAACAUCGGUCUACUAACUCAUUCCUUUCAAUCGUCUUCUCAGUUUCAUCUUCUUCCAUCUCCGUUACCCAUCCUCCUCUGUAAUUAAUCGUUUCCUUUCACCUCCCUCUCUUCAUUUUUUAUAAACUCUUUCUUCUUAUCUUACUACCAAUCUAAGCUCGAAAACCUCCUCUCAGUAAACUUAAGCCAUGGCAAUGAAACCCAACUGAAAGUCACCUGUUUUAACCGGAAAUUCUCAUGUCGCUUUGUAUUCCACAUCCCACCACGUCCAUUUCGAUCCGAAUUAAAAUUUCGACUCAUACAUUUCUAUGGGAGUCAAAAAAACGCAGCAAAAGGAGGGAUCUUUAUUGGACUGGAGAUGCUCAUUAUUGACGAACAGGACAAGUUGAUUCAGUGUUAUUGAUGACGUUCUUUACUCCAUCAACCAACUCCAAUCAAAGAUUCUUCAUUCAAUUAAUAUUCUACACGAAGCAGUGGAAAUCCAUCUAUAAAAAAGGAGCAGAGUGAGAUGAUAUUCAGCAGAUGAGGAACACUCAUGAUUAUUUCAUUAAGUUUGUUGGAAGCAUGGCAUCGACCUUUUGGACACAAAGACGUAGCGUACAGUUCAACUGAUACUCUCAAGUGGUGUGCAUAACCAUUCAUAAAGGCAUCAACUUCAGAGGAGACAUGAAUGUAUAGUUACCAACUAUUAGUUGGGGAUCCCAGCUUUGUUCAAUCCCAAUUCCUAAGGUACUGGUUCACAUUGUAAAUUAAUUGCUACCGUUUUAUAUUUUCUAGAAAUUUUUCUACGGAUACAGACUCUAAGCGCUCAAAAGCCUUGGCAUCAUUCACUGGCGAUAUUCCUCUAGCUUAUGAUGAUCAAUUCGAGAAACCUGUGUGGUCUUGGAAAGGUAUUUUGGUUAAUAUACCAACAAAGAUGAGACAUGAUGGUUUGUGUUGUACUGGGGAGAGCGGACCACAGCUUAAGGAUGAAUUGAUCAGAAGAGGAUUCAACCCUAUUAGAGUUCGUACCGUGUGGGACUGUUUCGGUCAUUCAGGAACCGGGAUAGUUGAGUUUAACAGACACUGGAAUGGACUUAACGAUGCUUUGCUGUUCAAGAAGGCUUAUCAAGAAGAUGGUCAUGGUAAAAAAGAUUGGCUGAGUGGUGGUGGUGCUGCUGACUCUAGCCUUUACGCAUGGCUUGCCAAUACUGAUGAUUGUUAUAGGGCUGCUAACUAUAUAGGAGAGUACUUGGGGAAGAUGGGUGACCUCAAAAGUAUUUCUAGGUUUGCAGAAGAAGAGGCUAGGAAAGAUCAUAAGCUUGUGGUGCGUCUGAACGUAAUCUCUGAGAACAUACAGAGUCGGUUGAGGAUGCUAGAUGAAAAAAUCUCAAAGACUUCGAUUAAACUUAAAUGUGAGACUGAAGAAAAAGAUAAGAUUCUCCACGGUUACAAUCAAGGUGUAACCCUAUAGCUAUGUAGUAGAUAUGUGUAUUGCUUUUGCUUAUAUUCAUGUUACAUUUUCUAUUUUUGCAUCUGAAGAUCUCACGGGAAGACAACAAAGAUCGACUGCUCAUUUCAAUAGAAUCUUUGCUGAUCUUGGAAAAUUUUCUUCUUUUCUCUUACCAAAUUUAACUUGAGAGAAAUUAUAUAAAAUAUACUGAAAAUCAUAAUAAUUAUUAAUAUAUAAUAAAAACAUAAUUUGUAAGCAUAAUAAAUAAGAAAACAAAAACAUACAAAAAAUGAAAAUUUAGUUAAAGUAGGUUGAAUUUAAAUAAAUUUUAGUCAUCAUCUAAAUUAAUUGAAAAUACAUAAUAUAAUCCAAAAAUAUAUAAAAUUUAUGAAUAAAAAGAGAAAAUUAAUAAGAACAAAAAAAGAUAAAUCAAUUUACGUUAUCAUUUUUCGCGUUUCAUCAGGCCAAUACAAAUAAAAAUUACUAACUCACCGAAUUUUAUUUCAUCUUAUGUUCACCAAGUUAAAUUUAGAGAAUUAAUAAAAUAAUAAUGAAAAACUAUA